rnacentral:rRNA from 1 species
AACGAACGCUGGCGGCGUGGAUAAGACAUGCAAGUCGAACGGGAUUACUUCUGGUAGCAAUACCGGGAGUAAUUCAGUGGCGAACGGGUGCGUAACACGUGGGCAAUCUGCCGAAAAGUGGGGGAUAGCUCGCCGAAAGGCGAAUUAAUACCGCAUAUGAUGAGAGACGACAUCGUUUCGAAAUCAAAGCCGGGGCGAACCUGGCGCUUUUUGUAGGAGCCCGCGGCCUAUCAGCUAGUUGGUGAGGUAACGGCUCACCAAGGCGGUGACGGGUAGCUGGUCUGAGAGGACGACCAGCCACACUGGAACUGAGACACGGUCCAGACACCUACGGGUGGCAGCAGUCGAGUAAUUUUUCUUCAA